rnacentral:rRNA from 1 species
AACGAACGCUGGCGGCAUGCCUAACACAUGCAAGUCGAACGAGACCUUCGGGUCUAGUGGCGCACGGGUGCGUAACGCGUGGGAACCUGCCCUUAGGUACGGAAUAACUCUCCGAAAGGGGUGCUAAUACCGGAUAAUGUCUUCGGACCAACGAUUUAUCGCCUUUGGAUGGGCCCGCGUUGGAUUAGCUAGUUGGUAGGGUAAUAGCCUACCAAGGCGACGAUCCAUAGCUGGUCUGAGAGGAUGAUCAGCCACACUGGGGCUGGGACACGGCCCAGAAUCCUACGGAGGGGAGCAGUGGGUGAUAUAGGACAACGGGGGAAGGCCUGAUCCAGCAAUGCCGCGUGAGUGAUGCAGGCCUGAGGGUUGUGAAGCCCUUUGACCCGGGAAGAUAAUGACAGUACCGGGAGAAUAAGCUCCGGCUAACUACGUG